rnacentral:rRNA from 1 species
GUGGGGGAUAUUGCACAAUGGAGGAAACUCUGAUGCAGCGACGCCGCGUGAGUGAAGAAGUAUUUCGGUAUGUAAAGCUCUAUCAGCAGGGAAGAUAAUGACAGUACCUGACUAAGAAGCCCCGGCUAACUACGUGCCAGCAGCCGCGGUAAUACGUAGGGGGCAAGCGUUAUCCGGAUUUACUGGGUGUAAAGGGAGCGUAGACGGAAUGGCAAGUCUGAAGUGAAAUCCUGCGGCUUAACUGCAGAAUUGCUUUCGGAGCUGUCAAUCUGGAGUGUUGGGGAGGUAAGCGGAAUUCCUGGUGUAGCGGUGAAAUGCGUAGAUAUCAGGAAGAACACCGGAGGCGAAGGCGGCUUACUGGACAAUAACUGACGUUGAGGCUCGAAAGCGUGGGAAGCAAACAGGAUUAGAAACCCUUGUAGUCC